AUUGAACGCUGGCGGCAUGCCUUACACAUGCAAGUCGAACGGCAGCACGGGGGCAACCCUGGUGGCGAGUGGCGAACGGGUGAGUAAUGCAUCGGAACGUGUCCUCUUGUGGGGGAUAACCAGUCGAAAGACUGGCUAAUACCGCAUGAGAUCGCAAGAUGAAAGCAGGGGACUCCGAGGGUAACUUCGGGGCCUUGCGCGAGAGGAGCGGCCGAUGCCCGAUUAGCUAGUUGGUGGGGUAAAGCCUACCAAGGCGACGAUCGGUAGCUGGUCUGAGAGGACGACCAGCCACACUGGGACUGAGACACGGCCCAGACUCCUACGGGAGGCAGCAGUGGGGAAUUUUGGACAAUGGGGCAACCCUGAUCCAGCCAUGCCGCGUGUGUGAUGAAGGCCUU
rnacentral:rRNA from 1 species